ACUCACCUGCCGAAUCAACUAGCC
rnacentral:ncRNA from 4 species